AUUGUGAAGCCGCGAAUGGCUCAUUACAACAGCCAUUGUUUACUGGAUAUAUCAUUACUACAUGGAUAACUGUGGUAAUUCUACAGCUAAUACACGCUGCAAAACCCCAACUGUUGGAGGGGUGCGUUUGUUACUUCAAAUCAAUCGGAUUCGGUCUGAACUCAACUGAGAUUGAGCAAUUUAGCUGAUCGCACGGUCUAUGAACCGGCGACUUAUCCUUCAAACGUCUGCCUUAUCAACUUUCGAUGGUAGAUUAUGCGCCUACCAUGGUUGUAACGGGUAACGGAGAAUCAGGGUUUGAUUCCGGAGAGGGAGCCUGAGAAACGGCUACCACAUCCAAGGAAGGCAGCAGGCACGCAAAUUACCCACUCCCGGCACGGGGAGGUAGUGACGAAAAAUAACAAGCUGGUCUCUUUGAGUUCCGGCAUUGUAAUGGGAACAAUAUAAACCAUUUAUCGAGGAUCUAUUGGAGGGCAAGUCUGGUGCCAGCAGCCGCGGUAAUUCCAGCUCCAAUAGCGUAUAUUAAAGUUGUUGC
rnacentral:rRNA from 1 species